AACCGCUGAAAGCAUCUAAGUGGGAAACCCGUUCGAAGAUGAGCAUUCCCAUCCCAUCAAGGGAGUAAGGCCCGUGACGAGAUCAUCACGUUGAUAGGCCGGAAGUGUAAUCGUGGUAACACGUUCAGCUGACCGGUACUAAUCGGCCGAGGGCUUGGA
rnacentral:rRNA from 1 species